UAUGUUCAGCCGUACCAUUCAUGUUUCCCUUAGAACUUGUGUUUGCAACUCAAAACACCCAUACACAAAAGCUUCAGAUGAAACAGAACAUCAACCAUCAUCUUCUUACCCUCCUCCCCUCUUUGACCGACCGGCCGACCAACCCCCCCCCCCUUUUUCUCCCCGUUAAACAACAACAGCAGCACCACCACCAGUGGUGGCGGUGCUCAGCGGUGGCAAAGGACCAAGAGAGAGAUAGAGAGAGAGGGUGAAUGCGAGAGAGAGAGACGCAGAAGAAGACGACGGCAACGCCGUCAUCUACGUCGGCGGCAGAAGUCUUCCAACCCCGUGUCGGUUCGAUUUCGGUGGUUGUUUCGAGUCUUGUUUCGGGUCAGCUUAGUUCCGACAGUCCAGAUUUCGGGAUUUUGCACAGGUUCGGGUUGUUUCAGCUUUGGCUCUGGUUCGAGACUCGCAUCACAGCCGAUUCAGGUUCGGUUUCGUUCAGAUUUGGUUGAGUUUUGUCGGGUCAAGGCUGAUUAAAGAGUCAACACUAGUCCGUUUCGUGGUCGAGUCAACGACUUCGGUUUUGAGUCAGUCAACAUACAGUCAACCCCGGUCUGCAUGGUCAAACCUGGUCAACCUACGGUCAAACAAUCAGCGGGCCUUUCAGUUAAGCCUCGGUUCGGGUCACUCCAGUUUCGGCCUGGUCAACUCAGUCAAACUGAGGUCAAACUCAGUCAACUCACGGAUCGGGUGACCUCGGUGUUCCGUCCUCCUAUCUCAUCAACUCGUCAUACUUGGAUAAUCGGAAGAAAUUGCAAUAUUGUUGAUGAGGAUGAUGCUAAGAAAAGAAGUAGCGUUGAUGCCUAGAUACACAUAUAG